rnacentral:pre_miRNA from 1 species
GGCCGGCAGGCUGGGCUGGCUCUGGGGGUGAGGAUCUCUUUGAAAGGCUCACCCUCAAGCACAGCCAGGAGG